rnacentral:rRNA from 1 species
GACGAACGCUGGCGGCGUGCCUAAUACAUGCAAGUAGAACGCUGACGGCGGAGCUUGCUCUUCUGGAUGAGUUGCGAACGGGUGAGUAACGCGUAGGUAACCUGCCUGGUAGCGGGGGAUAACUUUAGGAAACGAUAGCUAAUACCGCAUAACAGUAUAUGUUGCAUGACAUUUACUGAAAAGGUGCAUUUUCAUCACUAUCAGAUGGUACUGAGUUGUAUUAGCUAGGUGGUGGGGUAAGGGCUCACAGAGGCGAGGGUACAUAGCCGACCUGAGAGGGGGAGCGCCCACGCUGGGACGGGGACACGGCCCAGACUCCUACGGGUGGCAGCAGUAGGGAAUCUUCGGCAAUGGACGGAAGUCUGACCGAGCAACGCCGCGUGAGUGACGAAGGUUUUCGGAUCGUAAAGCUCUGUUGUAAGAGAAGAACGAGUGUGAGAGUGGAAAGUGCACACUGUGACGGUAUCUUACCAGAAAGGAACGGCUAACUACGUG